GAUGAACGCUGGCGGCGUGCUUAACACAUGCCAGUCGAACGGAAAGGCCACAGCUUGCUGUGGUACUCGAGUGGCGAACGGGUGAGUAACACGUGGGUGAUCUGCCCUGUACUUCGGGAUAAGCUUGGGAAACUGGGUCUAAUACCGGAUAGGAAUCACAUGAGGGGGGGUGGUUGGAAAGCUUUUGCGGUAUGGGAUGAGCUCGCGGCCUAUCAGCUUGUUGGUGGGGUAAUGGCCUACCAAGGCGUCGACGGGUAGCCGGCCUGGGAGGGUGUACGGGGACAUUGGGACUGAGAUACGGCCCAGAGGGCUACGGGGGGCAGCAGUGGGGAAUAUUGCACAAUGGGCGCAAGCGUGAUGCAGCGACGCCGGGUGGGGGAUGACGGCCUUCGGGGUGUAAACUCCUUUCGUCAGGGACGAAGCGAAAGUGACGGUACCUGGAGAAGAAGCACCGGCUAACUACGUG
rnacentral:rRNA from 1 species